rnacentral:siRNA from 1 species
GCCUUAUGCCUCUCUCUACAGCU